rnacentral:rRNA from 1 species
UAGGGAAUCUUCCGCAAUGGGCGAAAGCCUGACGGAGCAACGCCGCGUGAGUGAUGAAGGUCUUCGGAUCGUAAAACUCUGUUAUUAGGGAAGAACAAAUGUGUAAGUAACUAUGCACGUCUUGACGGUACCUAAUCAGAAAGCCACGGCUAACUACGUGCCAGCAGCCGCGGUAAUACGUAGGUGGCAAGCGUUAUCCGGAAUUAUUGGGCGUAAAGCGCGCGUAGGCGGUUUUUUAAGUCUGAUGUGAAAGCCCACGGCUCAACCGUGGAGGGUCAUUGGAAACUGGAAACCUUGAGUGCAGAAGAGGAAAGUGGAAUUCCAUGUGUAGAGGUGAAAUGCGCAGAGAUAUGGAGGAACACCAGUGGCGAAGGCGACUUUCUGGUCUGUAACUGACGCUGAUGUGCGAAAGCGUGGGGAACAAACAGG